CACAGACAUACAGAGCAAAUGUUAAUACGCAAGAUUAGACAUUAUUUCAAUGGUAAAACACAGUGAGCUCAAGAUGCCCUGACAAACAGUGGGUCUGUUGCCAUGACAACAGUGAUGCUUAACGGCAUCAAGCAGUUAUUACACAUUUGCAGUGUUGUGAUAUACGUGUUGCUUGGAGAUUCAACGUUACACAGAAGCCACAUUUGCGCCAAGGACAUCUCUUAAGACAUCUCUGCCUAGGAUCAAUUACACAGUGUGUUUAUUUAUUCCUUGCGGGGAGUCUGGGGGUGGUGGCUGUUUAAUGCAGAAUCAUGCUGAAAUCUCUGAGCGAGAUGGUUAUUCAUCUGUGUCUGUGUAGCCUUGGCAAAGGAGCUGCCCCCCACCCAACUGCUGAAUACAUUAAUCUAAUGAGAUGUCUGCAGUCUGUGUGCUAUGCAGCAGAGUAAUUCAAGUAUCCUACAGACACUAUAGAGAAAAGGAGGAGAAAAUGCACAUGGAGGAGAAGUUCCUUUAGCGAAAUAGGGUCUUGGGCAACUUAAUAAUAAAACAUUACCUAGGAGGUAAGGGUAAAGAAAGCAGACAGCAUACACGUGAACAAUGACUGCUAGGGCUUAAUGAAAAUGAUAUGUGAUGUAAUUUUGUUUAGUCAUUUUACAUUUUGGACAAUUAAUUCAUACAAUCCUGUUUUCUUAUAUUCCUGCGAUAAAAAUCACAUGUUUAUAAAAGGACCUGAAACCUGUAUUAUUUUUGAAAGCAUGCUGUCUCUGUUAAAAAAAUAAUAAUAAUGGAAGAACAUUGUGUUUGA